rnacentral:rRNA from 1 species
GACGAACGCUGGCGGCGUGCUUAACACAUGCAAGUCGAACGAGAUCCAUUCAGUAGCAAUACUGAUGAAGAUCUAGUGGCGAACGGGUGCGUAACACGUGAGGAACUUGUCCCGGUCUCUGGGAUAACAGUUGGAAACGACUGCUAAUACCGGAUGACGUCGGAACUUCGCAUGGAGUACUGACGAAAGGGUUACUGGAUCGGGAGAGCCUCGCGGCCUAUCAGCUGUUGGUGGGGUAAUGGCCUACCAAGGCAUCGACGGGUAGCUGGUCUGAGAGGAUGAUCAGCCACACUGGGACUGAGACACGGCCCAGACUCCUACGGGAGGCAGCAGUGGGGAAUCUUGCACAAUGGGCGAAAGCCUGAUGCAGCAACGCGCGUGCGGG